UAAGCGACUAAGCGUACACGGUGGAUGCCCUGGCAGUCAGAGGCGAUGAAGGACGUGCUAAUCUGCGAAAAGCGUCGGUAAGGUGAUAUGAACCGUUAUAACCGGCGAUGUCCGAAUGGGGAAACCCAGUGCAAUUCGUUGCACUAUCGUUAACUGAAUACAUAGGUUAACGAGGCGAACCGGGGGAACUGAAACAUCUAAGUACCCCGAGGAAAAGAAAUCAACCGAGAUUCCCCCAGUAGCGGCGAGCGAACGGGGAGCAGCCCAGAGUCUGAAUCAGCUUGUGUGUUAGUGGAACGGUCUGGAAAGUCCGACGGUACAGGGUGAUAGUCCCGUACACCAAAAUGCACAGGUUGUGAACUCGAAGAGUAGGGCGGGACACGUGGUAUCCUGUCUGAAUAUGGGGGGACCAUCCUCCAAGGCUAAAUACUCCUGACUGACCGAUAGUGAACCAGUACCGUGAGGGAAAGGCGAAAAGAACCCCGGCGAGGGGAGUGAAAAAGAACCUGAAACCGUGUACGUACAAGCAGUGGGAGCACCUUCGGGUGUGACUGCGUACCUUUUGUAUAAUGGGUCAGCGACUUAUAUUCUGUAGCAAGGUUAACCGUAUAGGGGAGCCGCAGGGAAACCGAGUCUUAACUGGGCGUUAAGUUGCAGGGUAUAGACCCGAAACCCGGUGAUCUAGCCAUGGGCAGGUUGAAGGUUGGGUAACACUAACUGGAGGACCGAACCGACUAAUGUUGAAAAAUUAGCGGAUGACUUGUGGCUGGGGGUGAAAGGCCAAUCAAACCGGGAGAUAGCUGGUUCUCCCCGAAAGCUAUUUAGGUAGCGCCUCGUGAACUCAUCUUCGGGGGUAGAGCACUGUUUCGGCUAGGGGGUCAUCCCGACUUACCAACCCGAUGCAAACUACGAAUACCGAAGAAUGUUAUCACGGGAGACACACGGCGGGUGCUAACGUCCGUCGUGAAGAGGGAAACAACCCAGACCGCCAGCUAAGGUCCCAAAGUCAUGGUUAAGUGGGAAACGAUGUGGGAAGGCACAGACAGCCAGGAUGUUGGCUUAGAAGCAGCCAUCAUUUAAAGAAAGCGUAAUAGCUCACUGGUCGAGUCGGCCUGCGCGGAAGAUGUAACGGGGCUAAACCAUGCACCGAAGCUGCGGCAGCGACACUAUGUGUUGUUGGGUAGGGGAGCGUUCUGUAAGCCUGCGAAGGUGACCUGUGAGGGUUGCUGGAGGUAUCAGAAGUGCGAAUGCUGACAUAAGUAACGAUAAAGCGGGUGAAAAGCCCGCUCGCCGGAAGACCAAGGGUUCCUGUCCAACGUUAAUCGGGGCAGGGUGAGUCGACCCCUAAGGCGAGGCCGAAAGGCGUAGUCGAUGGGAAACAGGUUAAUAUUCCUGUACUUGGUGUUACUGCGAAGGGGGGACGGAGAAGGCUAUGUUAGCCGGGCGACGGUUGUCCCGGUUUAAGCAUGUAGGCUGGUUGUCCAGGCAAAUCCGGAUAAUCAAGGCUGAGGUGUGAUGACGAGGCACUACGGUGCUGAAGUAACAAAUGCCCUGCUUCCAGGAAAAGCCUCUAAGCAUCAGGUAACAUUAAAUCGUACCCCAAACCGACACAGGUGGUCAGGUAGAGAAUACCAAGGCGCUUGAGAGAACUCGGGUGAAGGAACUAGGCAAAAUGGUGCCGUAACUUCGGGAGAAGGCACGCUGGUGUGUAGGUGAAGUCCCUGCGGAUGGAGCUGAGACCAGUCGAAGAUACCAGCUGGCUGCAACUGUUUAUUAAAAACACAGCACUGUGCAAACACGAAAGUGGACGUAUACGGUGUGACGCCUGCCCGGUGCCGGAAGGUUAAUUGAUGGGGUUAUCCGUAAGGAGAAGCUCUUGAUCGAAGCCCCGGUAAACGGCGGCCGUAACUAUAACGGUCCUAAGGUAGCGAAAUUCCUUGUCGGGUAAGUUCCGACCUGCACGAAUGGCGUAAUGAUGGCCAGGCUGUCUCCACCCGAGACUCAGUGAAAUUGAACUCGCUGUGAAGAUGCAGUGUACCCGCGGCAAGACGGAAAGACCCCGUGAACCUUUACUAUAGCUUGACACUGAACAUUGAGCCUUGAUGUGUAGGAUAGGUGGGAGGCUUUGAAGCGUGGACGCCAGUCUGCGUGGAGCCAACCUUGAAAUACCACCCUUUAAUGUUUGAUGUUCUAACGUUGGCCCCUGACCGGGGUUGCGGACAGUGUCUGGUGGGUAGUUUGACUGGGGCGGUCUCCUCCCAAAGCGUAACGGAGGAGCACGAAGGUUAGCUAAUCCUGGUCGGACAUCAGGAGGUUAGUGCAAUGGCAUAAGCUAGCUUGACUGCGAGCGUGACGGCGCGAGCAGGUGCGAAAGCAGGUCAUAGUGAUCCGGUGGUUCUGAAUGGAAGGGCCAUCGCUCAACGGAUAAAAGGUACUCCGGGGAUAACAGGCUGAUACCGCCCAAGAGUUCAUAUCGACGGCGGUGUUUGGCACCUCGAUGUCGGCUCAUCACAUCCUGGGGCUGAAGUAGGUCCCAAGGGUAUGGCUGUUCGCCAUUUAAAGUGGUACGCGAGCUGGGUUUAGAACGUCGUGAGACAGUUCGGUCCCUAUCUGCCGUGGGCGCUGGAGAAUUGAGGGGGGCUGCUCCUAGUACGAGAGGACCGGAGUGGACGCAUCACUGGUGUUCGGGUUGUCAUGCCAAUGGCACUGCCCGGUAGCUAAAUGCGGAAGAGAUAAGUGCUGAAAGCAUCUAAGCACGAAACUUGCCCCGAGAUGAGUUCUCCCUGAGACUUUAAGUCUCCUGAAGGAACGUUGAAGACGACGACGUUGAUAGGCCGGGUGUGUAAGCGCAGCGAUGCGUUGAGCUAACCGGUACUAAUGAACCGUGAGGCUUAACCU
rnacentral:rRNA from 1 species